rnacentral:RNase_P_RNA from 1 species
AGCCGGGUUCUGUCGUGGACAAUCAUUCCUCUAGGCGUACAUUUACAUAUACGCUCAAGCAACCUACCCGAACUCUCAGCGGGCCACCGAUUGAGUUCCUAUUUGGUCUUGCUACGAGUGGAGUUUACCCUGCUGUGGAAUGUUACCACCCACACGGUGCGCUCUUACCGCACCCUUUCACCCUUACCGACAAAGCCGGCGGUCUGCUCUCUGUUGCACUGGUCGUAGGCUCACGCCCCCCGGACGUUAUCCGGCACUCUGCCCUGUGUAGCCCGGACUUUCCUCCCCACACAACCCGGCUUAUAGAUUUAACGUGCCAUAAAAAACCAAUAUUCUAUUAGCAGAAUGUGCUUUUGUCAGCGAAGGCGAACCUCUUAC